UGUCCCCGUUUGACAGAGGAAGAAACUGAAGCACAGAAGAAUAACAGAUCCGUCUGUGAGCCCACACUCCCUAGAACAGUACCCUGUGAUGAUCCAGAGGUGUGUGACCUUGACCCCAGAAGUUAACACUGAGUGACUGAGCCUGAUUCUUCAUUAACAAAAGUUCAACUCAGACCUGAGGACUUUACACCUUAGUGUAUGUAACAAUCACCUUUACAAGCAGAGUCCUGCAGCCCAUCUCUAGAAAUUCUGAUUAAUUGGGUUUGGUGAGUAGCCCAGGAAACAGCCUGAGGAGACACUGAUGCAGGUGGUGCAGGCACCACACUCCAGGUAUAAAAUUUAUACCCAUGUGUGGUGAACCCAAACCAAGCCGGAAGAAUGGCCUGACUGGCUCCGAGCCCUGGAGAGGACGGGAAAGCUGAGCGGAGGAAGAAGUGGCCACCUGUGGACCCCUCAGCUUCCCUGGUGCGGCGGUAAGAGCGUCUGGUGCCUCUGGACGUUCCAGAAACCGCAUCUUGGAAACAUCUCCUCACUUCUCAGCAUCAAGAUUUUAAGGGACCCCUGGGACACCGUUUUCCCCGAGGAAGACCCUGCUGGGGCGAGGACUCGACGCUUGAGUACCGGGAAGCGGGCUGGGAGCCCCCAGGCUGUGGCUCUCGGCAGCUGCUAGAAAGCCGAGGUCCGUCUUCCCGCGACGCCGUUCCUGGUCCUGAGACGGGGGUCGGGAGAGUGCUGGAGCAGCUCCAGUUCCUGACGUCCUGCUCUGAAGUCCUGAGCCCCGCUUCCCCAGAGAGGAGGAAACCCAGAAGAGCAAAACGCUUACCAGAAAGUGUUUAGGUUCUGUGGCUGCUGCUGUCGUUGUGUUUGGAAGAGGGGCUGGCGGGGCGCAGAGAGGGCAAGAGCAGCUGCCGCCACCUACCGCGCCUGAGCCUGAGCCGGCGGCCUUGAGGGCAGCUGCGACCUCGCCCUUCAUUUCCCUUUGCUCCGCGGGCAUCUCUCCCCGGUCGCCGCUGCCCUCCGUGAGUCACCGUGAGCCCCGCUGGCUCCUGCGCCUGCAUGAAGAGGCUCACAUCUCAUGGAGGGCUGGGACGGAGCAUUUCAACUCUGACCCUUACUUCUCAGAGUGAGAGAGCCGGCCUCCG